AGUGAACGCUGGCGGUAGGCCUAACACAUGCAAGUCGAACGGCAGCACAGGAGAGCUUGCUCUCUGGGUGGCGAGUGGCGGACGGGUGAGGAAUACAUCGGAAUCUACUCUGUCGUGGGGGAUAACGUAGGGAAACUUACGCUAAUACCGCAUACGACCUACGGGUGAAAGCAGGGGACCUUCGGGCCUUGCGCGAUUGAAUGAGCCGAUGUCGGAUUAGCUAGUUAGCGGGGUAAAGGCCCACCAAGGCGACGAUCCGUAGCUGGUCGGAGGAGAUGACCAGCCACACUGGAACUGAGACACGGUCCAGACUCCUACGGGAGGCAGCAGUGGGGAAUAUUGGACAAUGGGCGCAAGCCUGAUCCAGCCAUACCGCGUGGGUGAAGAAGGCCUUCGGGUUGUAAAGCCCUUUUGUUGGGAAAGAAAUCCAGCUGGCUAAUACCCGGUUGGGAUGACGGUACCCAAAGAAUAAGCACCGGCUAACUUCGUGCCAGCCGCCGCCGUAA
rnacentral:rRNA from 1 species